AGUGAACGCUGGCGGUAGGCCUAACACAUGCAAGUCGAACGGCAGCACAGUAAGAGCUUGCUCUUACGGGUGGCGAGUAGCGGACGGGUGAGGAAUACAUCGGAAUCUACUUUUUCGUGGGGGAUAACGUAGGGAAACUUACGCAAAUACCGCAUUCGACCUACGGGUGAAAGCAGGGGAUCUUCGGACCUUGCGCGAUUGAAUGAGCCGAUGUCGGAUUAGCUAGUUGGCGGGGUAAAGGCCCACCAAGGCGACGCUCCGUAGCUGGUCUGAGAGGAUGAUCAGCCACACUGGAACUGAGACACGGUCCAGACUCCUACGGGAGGCAGCAGUGGGGAAUAUUGGACAAUGGGCGCAAGCCUGAUCCAGCCAUGCCGCGUGGGUGAAGAAGGCCUUCGGGUUGUAAAGCCCUUUUGUUGGGAAAGAAAAGCAGCAGGUUAAUACCCCGCUGUUCUGACGUUACCCAAAGAAUAAGCACCGGCUAACUUCGUG
rnacentral:rRNA from 1 species